CGUGUUUGAGAUUUUUUUAUUUAUAUUCUUAGGUAAUUUUUAACUAGAAAAAAUAUCAAAUUAAUUUUAUUUUUUUAGUAUUUAUAAUAAUUUUGAUGUACUAAUAUUAAAAAUAAAAAAAUCUAAAAACUAUUAUUUAAUUUCAUAUAAGCAACGAGUUAUUAAUAAAAAUAUCAUAUGCACCCCAACCCCCCUAACUACAGAACAUUGUGCCCAUGAAAAGGCAAGAGACGUAUUAUUACAUUGACAGAGACGACAACAUGAUGCACCGUAUAAAAGCUUCUCUAUUUUGAUUCUGCUCCAAGGAGGUGUUCCUGUGGAAUUAUCUUGGUAUAGAGAGAAAACGUCACGCUGGCAACUACAGGCCCAACCCAAAACACCCAAUGCCCCUUCCACGGAUGACCACCUCUAACGAGUGCCGGACCUAAACAUCUAGCUGGGUUCAUCCCAACUCCGGCAUAGCCUUUGGUUGCGGUCACCGUUGUCGAGAUGAACACGAGAAGGCCCACUACCAGCCCAAUAAAAUAAUAAGGGACUCGCAUAGAAUCGUGGAAAAAUAUCUUGCAAGUAUUGGGUUCAAACCUAUUAGAGAUGAAAAAUGGGUCUACGCGCGUUGCCUGAACCCAAAUAUGUUGGUCUUGGGAUGCGCUCCCGAGCUCAAGUUCAUGGGGAUGCUGAGGUGCACACCCAGCUUGCUGGGCAUGUCAUGCCCACAAUGGGUGUGCACCCAAUUAAGCGAACGCCAUGUAUGGACUUGAGUUUCUUGCCUUAGCUCAUGUUCUCUAAGGAGUUAGACUCGGGCUACAAUAAAUACCCGAAUCUAUCUUUUUCGGAUUCUCUAUUGUAUAUUGAGAUCAAGCUUAGUACCAUGAGUAUUUUUAAGAUUUAUUUUGAGAUAAUUUUUUAGGUUUGUUUUGAAAGGAUUUUGAAGGUAUAUUUUAUUUCAACCUAUCAAAUACAAUGCAUCUUCGAGCGAGCGAAAAACCAAUUCACUCGAAGAGUUUUUUAUUUUUUAAUCAAAACUCACUUUGACGUUACCAUAUUUCCGAAUGAAGAGUCCAAAAUACGUCUUCCAUUGUUUUGAAGGAAGGUAUGUAUAUAUAUAUAUAUAUAUAUAUAUAUAUAUAUAUAUAUAUAUAUAUAUAUAUAUAUAUAUAUAUAAUGCAUCUUCGAGCGAGGGAAAAACCAAUUCACUCGAAGAGGUUUUUUAUUUUUUAAUCAAAACUCACUUUGACGUUACCAUAUUUCCUAAUGAAGAGUAUAUAAAGGGAAAGAUUCCAAAAAUGUCAUGUCAAGUGCCAAAUUCAACCAGCACGUGGGAUCAUAAUGAGAAUAUUGAAACAAAAUAUAUGAUUUAAUAUCGUAAUUAUAACAUUUAUGCUUUCUUAGAUAUAAUCCUAACAUUUUUGCUUGCUUAGAUCAUUUUCCACCAUGACAUAGUAUUCCACUGGCAAAUUGAGCAAAGGUGGUAUAAAUAUCUGUUGUGGGUUGCUUAAGAAAAAAAUUGUAAGCAUGCGGUUGUUUUAAAGUGUUUUUUUAAUAAUAAGUUUUUUUAUUAUGAACAAAAAAUUUGAUAUAUAUAUAUAUAUAUAUAUAAUAAAAUAUUUCAAGAAUUAAAUACAUUAAUAAAUAUUAAAAAAAUUGUUAACUAAAUUAGAAAGCUAAUUUUUUUUAAUUACAUGGUAACAAAUUUUUUAUAAACAAAGCAAUAGUUGAAUUCCAUUAAAAUAAAAUAAUUUGUCAAGAUAAUUCCUCAAUUUUUUUAUUAAUAUUUUUAACUUUAACUAAUUUUUUUACUGUGUGAUUUAUUUAAUAAAUAACUAACCCAUGUUAAAAAAAGGUUUGCAAUUUCAAGCUUUUAAGUGUUUAUUUUUAUGGCUCAACCGUUCUUCUUAAAAACAAAUGAUUUUUUUUUGUUUUAAAUAAUUUUUUAUUAUAUUUUUUUAUUUUAAUAUACUGAUAUUAAAAAUAAAUUUUAAAUAAUAAUAAAAAUAUUAUUUUAAUACAUUUCAAAAUAAAAAACACUUUUAAACAAACAAUCAUUGUUAAAUGCUAAUCACUACCUAAGAUCCUCGACAACCAUGCUUUUCUUUCAAUUCGAUUUCAAUUUUUCCCAUUCUAUUGUAUAGAAGCUUUAUGUAUUUAUUUUAUAAUCAUCGUAGAAGCCUUUUCCAUUAUAUAUUACCACUCUUUGAUACUUUCCUUUCCUUGUAUUUUUAAAUAAAAAAAAACCCUGUAUGCAAAAUUUUCUUUACCCUUUUGUUAUCACUUUCCUAUGAAGAACUAUAUGUGUCCCUAUUGCUCAUGAUCAAAAUCCUUCAGGCCUUCAACAAUUUUUCAAUUACAGUCUUCAACAAUUUUUCAAUUAUACACUGGGAUUUUUAUCUAAGCUGGUCUAUUUUUAAGUCUAAAAAUGACUUCAUCUACUAUUCCAGCAGACGACAAGUGAGCAUAACAAUGUUGAGGGUUGCAGAGGCUGAAAAUCAAAAGGAAAGAAAGAAACAGAGUACAAAGACGUUUUGGCUGCUAACUUUCCAAUGCAGUUUUAUUAUUCUAAUUGUCUCAUUAUCUCUCAAUGAAGAAACAGAAGGAAUACAUAUACACGUAUCAAGGCUGAUGAGUCAGCCUUUCCCAUGCAAAAGGAAAUUAUUCCCACACCAUGCAAAAGGAAUUAAGUUAACUGAGUGGUUAUGAAGGCCCGUGGGAUUAGUCGAGGUGCGCGCAAGCUGACCCGAACACCCAUGUUAAACUAAAAAAAAAAAGAAAAAAGAAUGUAUAACUGACUAUAGCUGAAAAACAGGGAAAACUAAUCAUCCUUUUUCUUUUAACAACUUUACAUCCUCCUCCUUAUUCUUUAACAUAAUCAUCUUUAACAAUAUUAAAAAAAAAAAAACAAUAAUUCGUUAUUCUACGAUUGAAAUGAGAGAUCAUUGUUGAAUCAAGCAUAAUAAUAAAUAGCAUUAAUAGGACGGACAUGGUGAUCUUAUUACAUCAAUCAUUACCGAAGAUAGUCACAAUCAAAUUUAAAAUCUAAAAAAUAACAUGAAACAAAGAUUUCUACUUAAUGCUUUUAUUCAAUGGUGUGGGCAAGUUGGCGUGGAAUGAUCUUCGUGUACACGGCGAAGGCCACGCAUGCAACAGCUGGUCCAACCCAAAACACCCAAUGCCCAUUCCAAAGAUGACCUCCUCUUACAAUCGCCGGACCCAAACACCUAGCUGGGUUCAGCCCUGCCCCUGCAUAACCUUUCGUAGUAGUGACUGUGGUGGAAACAAACACGAGAAGGCCUAAGACUAUUCCCCCGAUGAUGAAAACACCAACUCGGCCUAUGCCCUGGGCUUGGCGAUGAUCGAAGGCCAUCCACACUGAGGCAAAAAGAAACACAAACCCACAAAUUAUCUCCAGCCAAAGGGCCUGGUUUGUCUCCAAGCCUAUCACAGUCGGCCCAUGUGGCCCUGGUGCAACAAUUGUGAGGGUACAGCCUCCGAGUGAAUAUGUUUUUUCAAUUUCGCUGUUUACCACAGCUUUCAGUGCCAGGGCACCAAAAAUGGCACCAACGCACUGGGCCAAUAUGUAGAUAAAAGUUUUUGAUAGGGAAAUAAGGCCAGUUAAGAAGGCAGCGAAGGUGAUAAUAGGAUUGAUGUGGCCACCAGAAAUGGGAAAGGUAGCUAGUAGGAGAAUUGUGAUAAUGAUGGCAACAAGGGUUGACAGUAUAAGGUUGGGCAUGUUUGUCCCUGUCUGAAUCGUGGAAAUCACUAUGGUGUCCAAAGCAAAAACAAGAACAGCUGUUCCCAAUAGCUCUGCUACUGAUGCUCUCCAUACCUGAGCAAACAAAAGAUUAUUUGCAUGGUAAGGCGUUGCCCUAAAAAUUCGACAUGCUACUUCUGUAGUUCUGAAGACAAUAAUAAUAUUUAGAUCUCCCGCACCAACUUAUAAUACAAUUUCAAUCCGCAUGAGCCCAUAAAUCCAUGUAAUAAUUUAUCACUUGCAAGAUAUAUUUUGUUAAGAAGUAUGCUAUAUAGUUACCGUCAAAGAGAGAAGGUCUUCUAAGCCCAAUAUUUCUCUCCAUGUAAUUUGCUUAGUCUUCCCUCCCUCGUUCUUAAGUGCCUCUGCCCUGCAGAAUUAUAUGAAAAACAAAACGCUUAUUAGCUCCAGUGAAUAGCAAAAUCUCAGGACAUUACAAACUGGAAGUGAGAGGAAAAAAAAAAAAAAAAGAGAAAGAAAUACGAAGUUAGGCACUUGCAUUGGCGUGGUGGCAAAAGGUUGGAUUCUAUUUCCACUGUAGAGGCUUUCUUCGUCCGGAAUAGGCCCUGCAUAUUAUCCAGCCAUCGUUCUCUUCUGUUUGCAUGUCUCCUCUUUGAACUCUAUAAAUAUAUAUAGCCAGAAACGAAAUAAAAAUAAUUUUCCUUGAGCCAUAGGCAACUCAAUAUUAUACCCUUUUUUUUUACUUUUCUUUAUCACAUUGGUCCAACUGGAAUAUUUAAUUCCAGAUGAUGCAAUAAACCAAUUAUAAAACUAAAUAGAUAAAUUAAGUUUUGAUAUAUAAAAGUGAGUCCAUAAAUAUCAAUUAGCUAUAAAAAAAAAAAAAAAGAUCAAAAAGCCUGAACUUGAUAUAUAAUUUCAUGGAUCAAGAUUGAAUAUCAUCUAGUAGAAAGAAAAGUACAAAGGUAAAGGAUGACAAACAUUUCUUUGCCGCCAUGGUUUUCAGGACCAGGACGUCUGUCUCGACACUUUCUUCUAAUGUUUUAUUAAGAAAGCCAAUUUUCCAAAAGAACCCUAUCUGUAAAACAUCAAGUUCGUCAUCUCCCGUCAUCAUGACAUCUCUGUAGGCAAGGUCAGGGUGAAUCUAUAAUAAACAAUACAAGCAACAAAAGGUCCCACCCAGAAUACCCAAUGGCCAUACCAUAAUCGGCCUCCUUUCAGUAAUGAUGGCCCUAAACACCUUGCAGGGUUCAAGCCCACACCAGCAUAUCCAGCUUUUCCCGUUACAGAAAUGGACACAAAAAAUGCAAGUGUCAUUGCCUCUGCUAGUAUACCACAUACCAUUUGUAAGCCUAGCUCUUUGCAUCUUCUCUUGUCAAAUGCCACGGUUACACCAACAAAUAGCACAAUAAAUGUGCAUGAGAAUUCUAAUAUAAAUGCAUUUGUAGGGCUUAUCCCUUCCCCAUUUCCAUCAAUCAUGCACCCAUCCAGGGAAUAUUUUUCUUCUGUAUUUUUGUCCAUUUGUAUUUUUGUCCAUUACACUCUUGAUUACUAGAUAAGCCACGAUUGAGCCUAUACAUUGAGCCGACACAGAAAACAAGGCACGGACAGGAGUUAUAACACCUUCAAGGGCAUCAAUAAAUGUGAACACAGGGCUCAUGUGACCCCCUGAUAAAGGGACCGUGGUCAACAGGAAGAAGAAGGCAAUGACGAUGAUUGCAAAUGGGAUUAGAAACUUGGGCUCGACAGUGGUUGAUUCUAGGCAUGAGAUUAUGGAAGUGGUUAAUGUGAAUAACAGGCAAGUUGUUAGGGUUGUUGCUACUAGCUCAGUUGGGGUUGCCCUCCAUAUCUGGAAAAAUGAAGGCACACGAUAACAGUUGCAAAUUAAUAAUCCUAUUUUUGCUAGAAAAUUAUAAAGAAUAACUAGCAGUCACUGAUAUAACACUAGACAUUUGAUAAAUCAAGCAGACCUCUGAUGAAAAGAUUUCGUGGGCACCAACGGAAUUCAGUACUUUUAUCAUUAUGGAUUUUUUUUCUUUCAAGUCUGUUGCUUCGCAACCCUGGAGCGAUUUUGAAAAUUCUUGAUUACCAUCAUCUUGGUGGUGUUGGUGGAUGACAACGUCCAUUUGGACUUCAAUUCCAGGGAAAAGUAUGAAAGCUCCCUACAUGUAUGAAGAACUAGGUUGCAAGGAAUAUAUGCAGAACAGUUCAUUAAAAAAUAGGAUAAAACAAAAUAAAUUGACAAAAUCAAGAGGAGGGCUAUUGUCUUUGCCAUUGGAGGUGGGUUAAGUGACUUGAUCUAUCAGCCAUGUCCCGAGUGAAAAGUCCAAGGACAUUCUACAUUAAAAUCCUCAGGCUUUGAUACAAACAACAAAUGUUAUGGUUAAAUUAUGAGCUAAGGUGAUCGGAUAUCCAUUAUGAAAAACUAAGGAUUCUUUUGGAUAAUUAUUAGAUAUAUCUUGCAUACAGCCAGAUCUUUAAUGAGAGGUGAGAUUGCUCUGAUGCCUUUACUAUCUGUUGCUAUUGCUGAAAUAUAGUUUCAUCACAUAAUAUAAAAUUUAGGAUCAGCUGCAGGGUCUUUUAAUAGUGCGCAAAAAUCUGCAUCCUCUUUGAUUUCGUUUGAACUAUAUACUAAUUUCUUGCUAGGUUUAGCCAAUUAAUAUUUUUUUUUCAAUUCAUAUUGAAAUCAACUCGUUGUCCGAGUUGUAAACCUUUUUAGACUGUUUAGGUCAACUCGUGGUGCCAUAAGUUUUUUAAUAACUAUAUACAUCAAUGUGAAAAGAUUGAUAUUAUAGGAUAUGUUUUUUUGUUGGAAUGAAUACCACUAGAGAGGUCUGAAAAAUACUAAAUAUCAUUACAUUUAUUAAGAAGAACUAAUAUAUAGAUAUACUAGUAUAACCAGAUCUUAAGAUCAAACAGGCUUGUAUUUUUAAAGCGUGUUCUAAUUUUAACAUCAAACAGACGUGUUUGAUAAUUUUUUUUAUUUAUAUUCUUAGAUAAUUUUUAAAAAUAUUUUUAACUAGAAAAAACAUCAAAUUAAUUUUAAUUUUUUAGUAUUUAUAAUAAUUUUGAUGUACUAAUAUUAAAAAUAAAAAAAUCUAAAAACUAUUAUUUUCAUACAAGCAACGAGUUAUUAAUAAAAACAUCAUAUACACCCCAACCCCCCUAACUACACAACAUUGUGCCCAUGAAACGGCAAGAGAUGUAUUAUUACAUUAACAGAGACGACAACAUGAAAAGCCUCUCUAUUUUGAUUCUGCUCCAGGAGGUGUUCCCGUGGAAUCAUCUUGGUGUAGAGAGAAAACGCCACGCUGGCAACUACAGGCCCAACCCAAAACACCCAAUGCCCCUUCCACAGAUGACCACCUCUAACGAGUGCCGGACCUAAACAUCUAGCUGGGUUCAUCCCAACUCCGGCAUAGCCUUUGGUUGCGGUCACUGUUGUCGAGAUGAACACGAGAAGGCCCACUACCAGCCCAAUUAUUGAG
rnacentral:lncRNA from 1 species